rnacentral:tRNA from 2 species
GUGGCUAUAGCUCAAUUGGUUAGAGCAUCUGACUGUGGCUCAGAAGGUUUGCGGGUUCGAUCCCCGUUAGCCACCCCA